rnacentral:sRNA from 14 species
UUCCCAUUCAGUAGUCCCGGACGAAUUAGAAUUUAGCGUACGGUUUGGACAUAAUGGGGAAAUGGACUUUACUCUUUUUGCAGCGAAGUUGAUCCUUAUGAUCUCUUUGCUAGCCAUAAGUUUAAUACAAUG